rnacentral:rRNA from 1 species
UACGUAGGGUGCGAGCGUUGUCCGGAAUUAUUGGGCGUAAAGAGCUUGUAGGCGGUCUGUCGCGUCUGCUGUGAAAAUCCGGGGCUCAACCCCGGACUUGCAGUGGGUACGGGCAGACUAGAGUGUGGUAGGGGAGACUGGAAUUCCUGGUGUAGCGGUGAAAUGCGUAGAUAUCAGGAGGAACACCGGUGGCGAAAGCGCUCAUCUGGCCCAAUACUGACGCUGAGGCGCGAAAGCUAGGGGAGCAAACGGG